UACGUAGGCAGCAAGCGUUGUUCGGAUUUACUGGGCGUAAAGGGUGUGUAGGCGGUUGUUUAAGUUUGGUGUGAAAUCUCCCGGCUCAACUGGGAGGGUGCGCCGAAUACUGAAUGACUAGAGUGCGGGAGAGGAAAGUGGAAUUCCUGGUGUAGCGGUGAAAUGCGUAGAUAUCAGGAGGAACACCGGUGGUGUAGACGGCUUUCUGGACCGUAACUGACGCUGAGACACGAAAGCGUGGGGAGCGAACAGG
rnacentral:rRNA from 1 species